AAUCAUGAGAUGAUCGCGCAGGAUAAUAAGUCCUGUGAGGAAAGUCCUGGCUGGCGCAAGCUGAGAGGCGAUUUACGCAAGGUGUGGAGCCUGCUUGCAGAGAAAGUGCUUGACGCAAGUCAAGGUAGGGCAACCUAACGGCAGGGAAAAUAACUUUUAUAGUUAUGAUUACCUUUAAAGUGCUAUAGUGACGAUGCUGCCUGGCGACAGGCAGAGUGAGACGACGUAAACCCCACUUUGCCAGAAACCCUCUGAGAGGGGAACUUUCCAAAGGGAAUUCAACUGGAGGAAAGCACAAUCUUUUGAUUGUGAGAAAGAUGAUCAUCCUAGACAGAACCAGGCUUAUUAUG
rnacentral:RNase_P_RNA from 1 species